rnacentral:rRNA from 1 species
AGUGAACGCUGGCGGCGUGCUUAACACAUGCAAGUCGAACGAGAACGGAUUAUAGCUUGCUAUAAUUGUCAGCUAAGUGGCGCACGGGUGAGUAAUGUAUAGGUAAUAUGCCUGUUACUAAGGGAUAACAAAUGGAAACGUUUGCUAAUACCUUAUACUCCUUAUUAACAGAAGUUAAUAAGGGAAAGAUUUAUUGGUAAGAGAUUAGCCUGUAUUGUAUCAGUUAGUUAGUGGGGUAAUGGCUUACCAAGACUAUGAAACAUAACUGGUUUGAGAGGAUGAUCAGUCACACUGGAACUGAGACACGGUCCAGACUCCUACGGGAGGCAGCAGUGGGGAAUAUUGCACAAUGGACGAAAGUCUGAUGCAGCAACGCCGCGUGGAGGAUGACACAUUUCGGUGCGUAAACUCCUUUUAUAUGAGAAGAAAAUGACGGUAUUAUAUGAAUAAGCACCGGCUAACUCCGUGCCAGCAGCCGCAGUAA